rnacentral:rRNA from 1 species
AUUGAACGCUGGCGGCAGGCUUAACACAUGCAAGUCGAGCGAGCGGCGGACGGGUGAGUAAUGUCUGGGAAACUGCCUGAUGGAGGGGGAUAACUACUGGAAACGGUAGCUAAUACCGCAUACCAUCAGAUGUGCCCAGAUGGGAUUAGCUAGUAGGUGGGGUAAUGGCUCACCUAGGCGACGAUCCCUAGCUGGGCUGAGAGGAUGAACAGCCACACGGGAACGGAGAAACGGUCCAGACUCCUACGGGAGGCAGCAGUGGGGAUUAUGGCACAAUGGGCGCAAGCCUGAUGCAGCCAUGCCGCGUGUAUGAAGAAGGCCGUCGGGUUGUAGAGUAAUUUCAGUCGGGAGGCGUUAACGACAGAAGAAGCACCGGCUAACUCCGUGCCAGCAGCCGCGGUAAUUC